rnacentral:misc_RNA from 1 species
GUAAAAUCAGUAUUCUUCUAAUGCUUCUAAACACCAAUCCUUGCUUAAGGAAAAGCAGAUUACAAACUAUGUAAGUGAAGAACAAAAUUCCUAACAACAUAAAAUCAGACAAACAUCAUGUUCAACUAUGAAUUCAGCAGUAAUCCUUAUGAUCAUCCAACCAUUAAUAGUAAAUCUAGAUAAUCCAAAAUGUAGAAUAUUCUACCAACAAAUAAA